GUGUAAUCAAGAAAUAGGAUUAUAUGAAAAAACACGACGGGAAGCUCGAUAAAACUUUUGUCUACAAGGAAUGUCACACAUAUAAAGACAAGGAAAAGAAAGGGAAGGGGAUUACGAAAGCAGCCAAGAAAAUUAUUGAUCGUUAUGUUGCUAUAUGUACGAAGAAAGGUAUUGACCCUAAAAGCACACAUCUUCAGUUUUGGAUCGAGGCAGUGGGAGGUAUUAAGAAGAACUCGAUUCAAGGACAUCCGCGGCUCCGUGCCUCUGAUAUUUGUGGGCCUGAGGGACGUGCACCACCACCCCGGAAAGGGGAAGAAAGAU